rnacentral:tRNA from 1 species
UAAUUAGUAAUAGUCUAGUUUCGACCUAGGUGUAGUAAAAACUUUUACACUAAUUAU